rnacentral:rRNA from 1 species
UGGGGAAUUUUGGACAAUGGGCGAAAGCCUGAUCCAGCAAUGCCGCGUGUGUGAAGAAGGCCUUCGGGUUGUAAAGCACUUUUGUCCGGAAAGAAAUCCUUGGCUCUAAUACAGUCGGGGGAUGACGGUACCGGAAGAAUAAGCACCGGCUAACUACGUGCCAGCAGCCGCGGUAAUACGUAGGGUGCAAGCGUUAAUCGGAAUUACUGGGCGUAAAGCGUGCGCAGGCGGUUUGCUAAGACCGAUGCGAAAUCCCCGGGCUCAACCUGGGAACUGCAUUGGUGACUGGCAGGCUAGAGUAUGGCAGAGGGGGGUAGAAUUCCACGUGUAGCAGUGAAAUGCGUAGAGAUGUGGAGGAAUACCGAUGGCGAAGGCAGCCCCCUGGGCCAAUACUGACGCUCAUGCACGAAAGCGUGGGGAGCAAACAGGAUUAGAUACCCUGGUAGUCCACGCCCUAAACGAUGUCAACUAGUUGUUGGGGAUUCAUUUCCUUAGUAACGUAGCUAACGCGUGAAGUUGACCGCCUGGGGAGUACGGUCGCAAGAUUAAAACUUAAAUGAAUUGACGGGGUCAUAGC